rnacentral:rRNA from 1 species
CCUACGGGGGGCAGCAGUCGAGAAUCAUUCACAAUGGGGGAAACCCUGAUGGUGCGACGCCGCGUGGGGGAAUGAAGGUCUUCGGAUUGUAAACCCCUGUCAUGUGGGAGCAAAUUAAAAAGAUAGUACCACAAGAGGAAGAGACGGCUAACUCUGUGCCAGCAGCCGCGGUAAUACAGAGGUCUCAAGCGUUGUUCGGAAUCACUGGGCGUAAAGCGUGCGUAGGCUGUUUCGUAAGUCGUGUGUGAAAGGCGCGGGCUCAACCCGCGGACGGCACAUGAUACUGCGAGACUAGAGUAAGGGAGGGGGAACCGGAAUUCUCGGUGUAGCAGUGAAAUGCGUAGAUAUCGAGAGGAACACUCGUGGCGAAGGCGGGUUCCUGGACAUUAACUGACGCUGAGGCACGAAGGCCAGGGAGCGAAAGGGAUUAGAUACCCGAGUAGUC